CUAAAUUGGAGCACUGCUUUUGGGUACUAGAUGUUCUCAAUUUUGUAUUUCCUUCAACUCAGAGAGCUGGCAGUUUUUGUUGUGUUAUUUAAAAGGGCAAUUGAGUUGUUCAGAGAAGUAUUUCUGGCUCCUUUCCUCCAUGUGCUAAAUGAUAACUUUGGGUUCUGCAAUUGAAUUCAACAAAUAUUUAUCAUGUGCUUAUCGGAUGUCAGGCUCCAGGCUAAGUGCUGCAGAGGGCAUGAAGAUUGAUGAUUCACGUGUUCAUUCAGGAUGGGAAGAGCCCAAAGUCUCAUUCACCAUGUCUCCCAUGAAAGAUUAUAAGAGUCCCAUAAAGGAGCAGACCAGACGGCAAAGAGGAGGUGUUGAUGCCCAUCCACGAAAAUGGUCUUCCCCCCACUUCAAGAGCACAUCUACUUACACAAGCAUGGAGCCCAUUUCGCAGGAGGCGCUCGUAAAUGUUUAUUAAAUGAAUAUGUGGUAUUCAGCUUGUAGCAUUGCUCAGAUGGUUAAGAGUCAAAUGGGUGGUAAGUUUAUUAAACUCAGAGCUUUUUAGUGAUGUGACCCCAGAGCCUAUACAGAAUUGAGAGUCAGCAAAGAAGUGUUUGAGAUCAUGCACUUUACAAAGAUUUAUCCAGGGGAGACCGUCUCCACACCCACCUGCACUUUGUACAUUUGAAAAGGGGACUACCAUUUUCUGACUAAUCUAGGAAAGAUGUGCAAGCCAGGGUUGUUGCACCCAGCACAUGUUCAUUUCAUUAUUGUAUCCAUGAUUGAGAAAAUGAUCCCCUAUCAUUGUGAACAUCAGAUAAAAUAUAAAAUACACAAACUAUUCUUUUUUAGCCUCAAAAUCGGACUUCAUUAAAUCCCCUCCCCAGAUUAUUAAAGACUAAUUGCAGAUUGAGGAUUGACGUGAUGGUGGGGAGAGAGGGAAUAUGGGAUCAUAUGGAAGGAUGCAGCUGUCAGAAGCACCAGUGAGGUCAUUAUAGGAAACUUUGUACUCAGCCACUAUUCCACCAUUUGCUAUUUUCAUGACCCUGGUCAAGGAAUUGAACUUCUAUGAGACUCAUUUAUAAAAGCUAAUAUUGUCUUCCUCACUGGGUUGUGGUAAUGAUAGAAUCAGGUCACUUUUCUACCGUGCUUAGCAUCAUGCCCAGGACCUAAUAAGCAACAUUCUGAUGUCAGCCCUACCUGAAUAUGUAAUAACACAAAUCAUCCAACAUGCUUUUCAGAACACGACCAUCAAGGUGAAAAAACUGAAAUCAUGAGAGAGGAAUUUGCAUCUUGGGUGAUCAGUGGGAACCUUUGUCCCCAAAUGUAUUAUUUUCAAAUAAAUCAGUAAGUUCCAGUCUUUCUAAGCA
rnacentral:lncRNA from 12 species